AACGAACGCUGGCGGCAUGCCUAACACAUGCAAGUCGAACGCCCUGCAAGGGGAGUGGCGAACGGGUGAGUAACGCGUGGGAACCUACCUAGCGAUGGGGGAUAACCGAGGGGAAACUUCGGCUAAUACCGCAUACGCCCCUACGGGGGGAAAGAUUUAUCGUCGUUGGAGGGGCCCGCGUCCGAUUAGCUAGUUGGUGAGGUAAUGGCUCACCAAGGCAUCGAUCGGUAGCUGGUCUGAGAGGAUGAUCAGCCACACUGGGACUGCGACACGGCCCAGACUCCUACGGGAGGCAGCAGUGGGGAAUAUUGGACAAUGGGGGCAACCCUGAUCCAGCAAUGCCGCGUGAGUGAUGAAGGCCUUAGGGUUGUAAAGCUCUUUUACCAGGGACGAUGAUGACGGUA
rnacentral:rRNA from 1 species